UACGAAGGGGGCUAGCGUUGCUCGGAAUUACUGGGCGUAAAGCGCACGUAGGCGGUCUUUUAAGUCGGGGGUGAAAUCCUGGAGCUCAACUCCAGAACUGCCUUCGAUACUGGAAGACUUGAGUCCGGGAGAGGUGAGUGGAACUGCGAGUGUAGAGGUGAAAUUCGUAGAUAUUAGGAAGAACACCAGUGGCGAAGGCGGCUCACUGGUCCGGUACUGACGCUGAGGUGCGAAAGCGUGGGGAGCAAACAGG
rnacentral:rRNA from 1 species